rnacentral:misc_RNA from 1 species
AAGUCGUAACAAGGUCUCCGUAGGUGAACCUGCGGAGGGAUCAUUACAGAGAACAUCGCCCUCACGGGUGACUCUCCAACCCUAUGUUAUACAACCUUUGUUGCUUUGGCGAGCCGCCUCGGCCGCUGGCUUCGGCUAGCGAGUGCUCGCCAGAGGACCCCAAACUCUGAAUAUUAAUAUCGUCUGAGUACUAUAUAAUAGUUAAAA